rnacentral:lncRNA from 1 species
ACGUGAGAUUGCGCAUCCUCUAACUUAUGAGAUUAAUAACUUGAAAACUUUUCCCUUUUUUCUUCAUUUUAUCUUUUUUUUUGUUCUUUUUCUUUAUCCAUCUUUUGAAAAAACUUUGAUGACUACUUAUUGACAGCUUCCACUGUUCUUUGCUAAUAGUCAUUUGCUGUUGAGCUGACCUAGUUUCGAAUGCAUACUAAGUGAUUAUCGCAAAACUUUGAGUUUGAAGGGGAUAUUGAAAUAUAGUGAAUGGGCUAGAAUUGUGUGUUUCAUGGAAGAAAAGGCUAAUGUUGG